rnacentral:rRNA from 1 species
UGAGACACGGCCCAGACUCCUACGGGAGGCAGCAGUGGGGAAUAUUGCACAAUGGGCGCAAGCCUGAUGCAGCGACGCCGCGUGAGGGAUGACGGCCUUCGGGUUGUAAACCUCUUUCAGUAGGGAAGAAGCGAAAGUGACGGUACCUGCAGAAGAAGCACCGGCUAACUACGUGCCAGCAGCCGCGGUAAUACGUAGGGUGCGAGCGUUAUCCGGAAUUAUUGGGCGUAAAGAGCUCGUAGGCGGUUUGUCGCGUCUGUCGUGAAAGUCCGGGGCUUAACCCCGGAUCUGCGGUGGGUACGGGCAGACUAGAGUGCAGUAGGGGAGACUGGAAUUCCUGGUGUAGCGGUGGAAUGCGCAGAUAUCAGGAGGAACACCGAUGGCGAAGGCAGGUCUCUGGGCUGUAACUGACGCUGAGGAGCGAAAGCAUGGGGAGCGAACAGGAUUAGAUACCCUGGUAGUCCAUGCCGUAAACGUUGGGCACUAGGUGUGGGGACCAUUCCACGGUUUCCGCGCCGCAGCUAACGCAUUAAGUGCCCCGCCUGGGGAGUACGGCCGCAAGGCUAAAACUCAAAGGAAUUGACGGGGGCCCGCACAAGCGGCGGAGCAUGCGGAUUAAUUCGAUGCAACGCGAAGAACCUUACCAAGGCUU